rnacentral:misc_RNA from 1 species
GCCCCAUGUGUAAACGCCGGUUCUCCAUCAUCCGCCGCCCUGCUAGACCUCCCAUUUUCCCUUCCGAACGCGUUGUCAAUGUUCCUGUCCGCGAUCAGGUUUAUCAUUGCCAUGGAAAUGCAACAACUGGACCACGGGAUCUGUAUGCAGAAGUCCAAUGUAACGUGUGCCAUAGCACGGCUGAUGACGUUCUCCUGCUGUUGUGCGACCUUUGUGACACUGCUUAUCAUACUUAUUGUGUUGGCCUUGGUGCUACUGUUCCUGAGGGUGAUUGGUUUUGUGCAGACUGCGCCCUUCUGAAGGCUGAACAGGCCCAGAGUGACAUCAAAACUGAUUGCUGUACCCAAACUAGUUUCGGUGAACCCCAAUCAGCAGAAUCAACAAGACAAG